rnacentral:ncRNA from 1 species
UAGAUUGCUUAGAUGAGAAGAGUAAUGGUCACUUAUUUUUUACAGAGAAUUGACAUCCGUUGAGAGUCAAUAAGAAUAACGACCGCGAAGAUGAACUCAGAGCAUUGGAUACGUGCAAGCGAUAUCCACGCGAAGACGCGUUACAGUCUCAGGCUUAACAAAGAAUUGGCUGUAAGUGAUUAUUAACGAGAUUUUUAAUUAUCAAAUUGAUAAUUAAACUUUUAUGGAUAAUUUCUUAACCUAUUUUUUAUAUGAGCUGAUGAGGUGGCCAGCUUUUUUAAUAAGUGGCCGCAAAUCUGGGUGGUACCACGUGUAUAAACGUCCCUGCA